rnacentral:tRNA from 1 species
GCGCCCAUAGCUCAAUUGGCAGAGCAAUCCGCCUUCGGCGGACAGGUUCAAGGUUGGGUUUCUUGCGGGCGCG